UACGUAUGGUGCAAGCGUUAUCCGGAUUUACUGGGCGUAAAGGGAGCGCAGGCGGUGCGCCAAGUCUGAUGUGAAACCCCGGGGCUCAACCCCGGGCAUGCAUUGGAAACUGGCGGGCUGGAGUGCCGGAGAGGUAAGCGGAAUUCCUAGUGUAGCGGUGAAAUGCGUAGAUAUUAGGAGGAACACCGGUGGCGAAAGCGGCUCUCUGGCCUGUAACUGACACUGAGGCUCGAAAGCAUGGGGAGCAAACAGG
rnacentral:rRNA from 1 species